rnacentral:rRNA from 1 species
GGACUACCCGGGUUUCUAAUCCUGUUCGCUCCCCACGCUUUCGCGUCUCAGCGUCAGUACCGUCCUAGAGAGCCGCUUUCGCCACGGGUGUUCUUCCUGAUAUCUGCGCAUUUCACCGCUACACCAGGAAUUCCACUCUCCUCUUCCGGACUCUAGCCAGAUGGUUUCGGUCGACGUCUAGAGGUUAAGCCUCUAGUUUUCACAACCGACCUACCUGGCCGCCUACACGCUCUUUACGCCCAAUAAAUCCGGACAACGCUUGCCCCCUACGUAUUACCGCGGCUGCUGGCAC